ACGCGAAAGCUCCCUUUCGGGGAAGCAAGUAGAGUGGCGCACGGGUGAGUAACACGUAGGUAAUCUACCUCUGGGUGGGGAAUAACAGCCGGAAACGGCUGCUAAUACCGCAUAACGCAGCGGCACCACAUGGUGACAGUUGUUAAAGCGGGGGAACUUCGGUCCUCGCGCCUGGAGAGGAGCCUGCGGCGGAUUAGCUAGUUGGUGGGGUAACGGCCUACCAAGGCUUCGAUCCGUAGCCGGCCUGAGAGGGCGGUCGGCCACACUGGCACUGACAUACGGGCCAGACUCCUACGGGAGGCAGCAGUCGGGAAUUUUGGGCAAUGGGCGCAAGCCUGACCCAGCAACGCCGCGUGAAGGAUGAAGUUUUUCGGAAUGUAAACUUCAUAAGAAUGGGACGAAUAAGUGGGGGAUAAUACCCCCCAUGAUGACGGUACCAUUUGUAAGCUCCGGCUAACUCCGUGCCAGCAGCCGCGGUAAUACGGGGGGAGCAAGCGUUGUUCGGAUUUACUGGGCGUAAAGGGCGCGUAGGCGGCGUGACAAGUCACUUGUGAAAUCUCCGGGCUUAACUCGGAGCGGCCAAGUGAUACUGUCGUGCUAGAGUGCGGAAGGGGCUACUGGAAUUCUCGGUGUAGCGGUGAAAUGCGUAGAUAUCGAGAGGAACACCUGCGGCGAAGGCGGGUAGCUGGGCCGACACUGACGCUGAAGCGCGAAAGCUAGGGGAGCGAACGGGAUU
rnacentral:rRNA from 1 species